rnacentral:piRNA from 1 species
UGCCCUGAUUUUUAUCGAUUCUUCUCAUC